rnacentral:rRNA from 1 species
GGUGCAUUAGCUAGUUGGUAAGGUAACGGCUUACCAAGGCGAUGAUGCAUAGCCGAGUUGAGAGACUGAUCGGCCACAAUGGAACUGAGACACGGUCCAUACUCCUACGGGAGGCAGCAGUAGGGAAUCUUCCACAAUGGGCGCAAGCCUGAUGGAGCAACACCGCGUGAGUGAAGAAGGGUUUCGGCUCGUAAAGCUCUGUUGUUGGAGAAGAACGUGCGUGAGAGUAACUGUUCACGCAGUGACGGUAUCCAACCAGAAAGUCACGGCUAACUACGUGCCAGCAGCCGCGGUAAUACGUAGGUGGCAAGCGUUAUCCGGAUUUAUUGGGCGUAAAGCGAGCGCAGGCGGUUGCUUAGGUCUGAUGUGAAAGCCUUCGGCUUAACCGAAGAAGUGCAUCGGAAACCGGGCAACUUGAGUGCAGAAGAGGACAGUGGAACUCCAUGUGUAGCGGUGGAAUGCGUAGAUAUAUGGAAGAACACCAGUGGCGAAGGCGGCUGUCUGGUCUGCAACUGACGCUGAGGCUCGAAAGCAUGGGUAGCGAACAGGAUUAGAUACCCUGGUAGUCCAUGCCGUAAACGAUGAGUGCUAGGUGUUGGAGGGUUUCCGCCCUUCAGUGCCGG